AUUUUCUGUAAGAAAUCUUUAUCCAUGACUCCAGGAUAUUUGUAUAUUUUCCUUCUGGAAGCAUUGUCAUUUCAAUUUUUUUAUUUAGGUCUAAAACCUGACUUUAAUUAAUUUAUAAACGUAAUCUAAGGAUGCUGAUGUUUCCAUAGUUACAUACUUGAUCCAUCUGUUGAAAAGAUUUUCUGUUCCCUACUAAAGUGCCUCCGAACGUCUGUCCAAAAAAAUCAAUAGUGUAUGAAUGGCCUAUUUCUGGACUCUCAUUUCUACUCCAUUUAUCUAUAUGUCUAUUUUUAUGCAGACUGUUUUAAAUACUAGCUUUGUAAUACAACUGCAAGUGAGAUAAUAUCAUCUUCCAACUCUUUUCUUGUUUAACAGUUGUUUUGGUUAGUGCAGAUUCUUUGCUUUUUAAUAUAUAGAAGAUAGCCGUUAUUUGUCAUAGUUAUAUUUUAUAAUAUUAUCACAAACAUUGGAUUAUUGUUCCUGGAGGAACUCAAGGAAUGUGUUCCCGUGAGCCUCUGGCCACAAUGUCUUUGUCACCAAUCCAUAACAACUCUGUGCUGUGUGUCCCCCACUCCCCUCCUCACUCCGCAGUAUGGGGAACUGAACCUAGGAGUGUAGCGCUACAUCCCCAGCCCUUUUUAUUCUUUUAAGACAAGGUGUCACCAAGUUGCCCAGGCUGGCUUAGAACUUGGGGCCCUCUUGCCUUACCCUCCUAAAUAGCGGGGAUCACAGGCAUGCACCACCUUGCCUGUCGUGUGUUUCGCUUGAAGACUUGGGCCUGAGUGAAGCCUAUUUAACACAUAUAUUUCCUCUAUUAAGAUACAUCACGGUCUUCCUAGACUUGGGGACACUAGACGGCACUCACUAUGCUUGGAAGACAUUCAAAACAGUAAAAUCACUGCAACACUAAAAUGUGAAAACUGGCCUUAAACAUCCUCUCUGAAAAAGACAACUGUUUCCAAGAUGCGAACUAAAGCAGGAAGGCAGGGUGUUGCCACAGCCCUGUUCAGCCUCAGCUAGGAACGUACAUACGGAAAAGCUUUGUAAUGAAGUGGUACUAGGAAAUGCCUGAAAUCUGAAGAGAAAUGAAUUGUGACAACACAUGAAGUCUAGUAUGAAUGGACUUGCUGUGAAUUUUUACUGAUUAAGCCCGUUUACUGAUUAAGCCCGAUGAUUGAUGAAGAGUUACACCGGUCAUCAUCCCUGGAAAACAGAGUAGUAGAUACUUUAUAAUCAGGUUGGUAGAAGCUAUAAAACUCUUUUAUCUCUGCUGUGCAAAGAGGUUUUAUGAUAAGAACUUUAUACCUUGCAUGAAGAGGAAGGUAAAAGAGCUUUUGCCUUCAUUUAAUGGAACAUUGUCUGCCUUGUUUCCUUGUCUAUUUUAUAGUCAAAAUUCUUAGAGCAUAUAUAAAUUAAUGAAUUUUCCAAUAAAAUCCAGAUCAUACAAAUAGAAUUUGUAUUUAACUGAGUCCAGGUUAUUAAUAAACUUUUUGGCCUUUUCUUUCGAAACAAUUAUAAAGAGCACAAUUGAUAAUAACUAGAAAAAAAGAAAAAAUGUAUCACCACAAUGAUGAUCUUAAGAAUUAUGACUGUGUAAAAUCACAGUAAGGCAGACUGAAAACAGUAGACAAAUAUAAAAUUCACACCAGGCAUAGUGAUGUACACCUGGAGACUGAGGCCAGAGGAUCACUGGAAGGUGGAGGCCAGCCUGGGCUACAUAGCAAGAUCCUAUUUCAAAAAAACAAAAAACAGAAAAACCAUAAACAAACAAAACAAAA